rnacentral:rRNA from 1 species
GACAGAGGGUGCAAACGUUGCUCGGAAUCAUUGGGCGUAAAGCGCACGUAGGCGGCCUAGCAAGUAGGGAGUGAAAGCCCUCGGCUUAACCGAGGAAGUGCUUUCUAAACUACUAGGCUUGAAUACUGGAGAGGGUCGCGGAAUUCCCGGUGUAGAGGUGAAAUUCGUAGAUAUCGGGAGGAGCACCAGUGGCGAAGGCGGCGACCUGGACAGAUAUUGACGCUGAGGUGCGAAAGCGUGGGGAGCAAACAGG